GGCAAGAUGGCCGAGUUGGUUAUGGCGUGAGGUUAAGGUCCCAAAAACUCUUAGCACUGGUUUCCUCAUGGAGCAAUCCGCGUGGGUUCAAGUCCCACUCUUGUCA